rnacentral:ncRNA from 1 species
CGUACGAAACGGCAAAACCAUUGAAAAAUGGUGACGCAAAACUAGAGGGGCUAAUGUUUAACGACGAUGCUAGCCAGUUGCCGAA